rnacentral:rRNA from 1 species
AUUCCAGCUCCAAUAGCGUAUAUUUAAGUUGUUGCAGUUAAAAAGCUCGUAGUUGGAUUUCGGAUGGGACUUGCCGGUCCGUCGUUGCGAUGUGCACUGGCCAGUCCUAUCUUGUUGUCGGGGACUAGCUCCUGGGCUUCACUGUCCGGGACUAGGAGCUGACGAGGUUACUUUGAGUAAAUUAGAGUGUUCAAAGCAAGCCUACGCUCUGAAUACAUUAGCAUGGAAUAACACGAUAGGACUCUGGCUUAUCCUGUUGGUCUGUGAGACCAGAGUAAUGAUUAAGAGGGACAGUCGGGGACAUUCGUAUUUCAUUGUCAGAGGUGAAAUUCUUGGACUUAUGAAAGACGAACUUCUGCGAAAGCAUUAGUCAAGGAUGUUUUCAUCG